CCUACGGGAUGCAGCAGUGGGGGAUAUUGGACAAUGGGGGGAACCCUGAUCCAGCGACGCCGCGUGAGUGAAGAAGGAUUUCGGUAUGUAAAGCUCUGUCAGCAGGGAAGAAAGAAAUGACGGUACCUGACCAAGAAGCCCCUGCUAAAUACGUGCCAGCAGCCGCGGUAAUACGGAGGGGGCAAGCGUUAUCCGGAAUUACUGGGUGUAAAGGGAGCGUAGACGGUUAAGUAAGUCUGGAGUGAAAGGCCGGGGCCCAACCCCGGGACUGGUCUGGAAACUAUUGACCUUGAGUGCAGGAGAGGUAAGCGGAAUUCCUAGUGUAGCGGUGAAAUGCGUAGAUAUUAGGAGGAACACCAGUGGCGAAGGCGGCUUACUGGACUGUAACUGACGUUGAGGCUCGAAAGCGUGGGGAGCAAACAGGAUUAGAUACCCGGGUAGUC
rnacentral:rRNA from 1 species